rnacentral:rRNA from 1 species
CCUACGGGUCGCACCAGUGGGGAAUAUUGCACAAUGGGCGCAAGCCUGAUGCAGCCAUGCCGCGUGUAUGAAGAAGGCCUUCGGGUUGUAAAGUACUUUCAGCGGGGAGGAAGGUGUUGUGGUUAAUAACCACAGCAAUUGACGUUACCCGCAGAGGAAGAACCGGCUAACUCCGUGCCAGCAGCCGCGGUAAUACGGAGGGUGCAAGCGUUAAUCGGAAUUACUGGGCGUAAAGCGCACGCAGGCGGUCUGUCAAGUCGGAUGUGAAAGCCCCGGGCUCAACCUGGGAACUGCUUUCGAAACUGGCAGGCUGGAGUCUUGUAGAGGGGGGUAGAAUUCCAGGUGUAGCGGUGAAAUGCGUAGAGAUCUGGAGGAAUACCGGUGGCGAAGGCGGCCCCCUGACAAAGACUGACGCUCAGGUGCGAAAGCGUGGGGAGCAAACAGGAUUAGAUACCCUCGUAGUC